rnacentral:rRNA from 1 species
GUCUACGACCAUGCCACCCUGAACAUGUCCAAUCUCGUCUGAUCUCAGAAGCUAAGCAGGGUCGGGCCUGGUUAGUACUUGGAUGGGAAUACCAGGUACUGUAGGCA